GUAGGUGGCAAGCGUUGUCCGGAAUUAUUGGGCGUAAAGCGCGCGCAGGUGGUUCUUUAAGUCUGAUGUGAAAGCCCCCGGGCUCAACCGGGGAGGGUCAUUGGAAACUGGGGAACUUGAGUGCAGGAGAGGAAAGUGGAAUUCCACGUGUAGCGGUGAAAUGCGUAGAUAUGUGGAGGAACACCAGUGGCGAAGGCGACUUUCUGGCCUGUAACUGACACUGAGGCGCGAAAGCGUGGGGAGCAAACAGGAUUAGAUACCCUGGUAGUCCACGCCGUAAACGAUGAGUGCUAAGUGUUGGGGGGUUUCCGCCCCUCAGUGCUGCAGCUAACGCAUUAAACACUCCGCCUGGGGAGUACGGUCGCAAAGACUGA
rnacentral:rRNA from 1 species